AAAUCGAGGUAGAGGUCACGGGAUUGAACCCGUCCACCUUCCAAAUUUUAGUUUUUUCUUUUUUUCCUUCUUCUUCAUUCUUUUUUCGAUUUGGGUUCAGAAAACCAGAAAAUCCCCAUCUUUUUUCAUCUCAGAAAAUUCAGUCCACCACCAUUACCUCCAUCACCAUCAGCACCGGUACCAGAUUGUCCACCAUCGUUUCCACCAUACAGAUUAACAGACACCAAUUCCAACGCAACUCAAUUUAAUCGACCUAAUUUCUAUUUCAAAUUACCUUUCAACAACUAUGUUUAAGAGAUUGGGUUUCAGAUCUGUGAUUAGGGGUUUUCCGGUAAGCAUCAACGACAUCAGUUCAUGAAGUAGUGAGGUCGAUUCUACAUCAACUACAGUAGCAACAACAGUGGAUUUAAAGUGUUUGUGGUGGUUCUUGCUCUUAAUAACAUAAAGUGUGAGAGCAUGUGAGUUGUGAGUGUGUUGUGUGCACGUGUGCGAGUCUAUUGAGAGUUUCAGAGAUUGAGUAAAGUGUCGAGUCUAUAUAAGACUGAGUUCUAUCUGUAACAAAGUAUCUUUCUUCUAUCAAUGAAAUUGAUUAAACCGUAAGCAAUUUAGACAUGAGGAUUCUCAAUGUUACUAUGGUAUCAGACUCAGAAAUCCAUUUCUGAGGGUACCGAUCCUAGCAUGUUUCUUCAUCAAAACUACCAUUACUUCCAUCUUCAACAAUCAUCACCCCCAUUAAUCCAUCAUCUUCUGCUGCUGCUACUGUAAACCGAAAUUCGAAGCUUUAUUUGAUUGAAUCAUCUCAGAUUUGCGACUAAUUUGACGGGUCUAUGUGUUUCUAUCUACAUCAACAGCAUUAGUAGAUCUGCUGUUCUUGAUUCCUGAUGCCGAGAUAGUCUGAGCGCGUUCUAGUCCGAUACACCAAGGUCUAGUUAGGGCGAAAACUUAAAGUCGUUCCACCGAUUGGAUUCAGCAGAAGAUUGAGAAGUUGUUGGUCUCAUAUCUUACUUCAAGGCAGUCCUCACAUAUGUGUUGAAGAUUCUUGCGUUUUAUUAAUGGUGUUUCUGCAAUUGAACAUCGAAUUGGAGUUGCUGAGUUACAUUAAGUACAGAUUGAAGUUCUUUUUGUUGAGCUUGUACGCAUUCAGUAUGCAACCUGGCUUUGAACUUGCAUAUGUCUUCAAUGUGCAACCUGUAGUUGUUCUACUUUUCAUGCUCUUUGAAUAAAACAGUUGAAGUUCAUCUUCAAUGGUGCUUUUUACUUUUAUUUCCUAUGUGAGUGAAUAAUCCAAAGUGCUAUGGCCUUCUGGAGAAUAAUCAAAGGAUAAUAAUAUAGUUGAAAACUUUGCUUCUUUCACGGUCCACUGCUGCAAAAACUGCCCAAGGGGAAUACAAGUAUGGCUUUGUGUAUUUGCUUUAUGAUGCUCAUGGUGCUGUGUUGCGCUUGUCAUGAAACUGUGGUUUGGCUUUAUCUCUUUCAGAAAAUACCUACUGCUUCCCAAAUAUGCUGGUACAUUUUUUCAUUGCUAUUGCAUGAUCUGUCUAAUGCAUCAUCAACUGUACCAGUUACACCAACUCUUCCAGCUGCUCCUUGUAUACAAGUGCUGAGUUUGAUUGCUUAUUGGUGUUUUCAUUGAUUUCGAGCAUAGUUGUCAUUAUUUUUCAGUUGGUUAUGAAGAAACCAACCAUAUCUUCUGCUUGGUCAUAUCUUCGGCAUGGUGCAACUUUGGAAGUACAUUCUUGCUAGCGUAUUUGUUCAUCUCUGCGACAAGGAUUCUAUUCUUGAAAAUCUGCAAAUAACUGGAAUGAUCCGAUAUUGCUGUUAGUACUUGCUGGUGAAUGAUUGAAGGAAGAACGGUAUUCCUUUAAAAUUGAGUUUGGCAGGGUGAAGAGACCUCAGUUGUGUAUCCACAUUACUGGCACAAUGCAACCAGUGUGCAGGUUGUCUUAUGGUUUUAUUGCUUAUUUUGGUACUACUGACUCGGUGAGUGUGUGCAGUUCUUGUGAUACGAAUGAGGCAAGUGCAGCUCUAUAAAUUGCUUAUGGUUUACAAUGUAAGGAGCACAGUUGCAACUUCUCAGCUGCUAAAGCUAUCUUUUGUCAUAUUUCCUGCUAGAAGUUGCUGCCAUGUACAACUUCAUCUUGUAGAGCUCCUGGUUCUUGGGAAUGUUGAUUUAUCACUGUCACUGUUCCUGCAUCAACGACUCCAGCAGCUACUGCCAAUAUAGAUAACAAACUUCUAUUCCCUGCGAAAGUUUUCUACUGCAACUACUACUGCCACAACUGAGUGUGAUACUGUUUUUCAAGAUAUGCAACAACUCUGUCCUACUGUGCAAGGUCAUUUCUCAGACUCCCCCCCUUUAUGCUUUCACUGCACCAUUGGAAACUGUUGUUGUUACUUCCAUCACUGCAUCAACUAUUGAACAAGCUGCUGUUGUGCUUCUCCUUUGUCAUUUGGUCUUCAUACUUCUAGUGCAGAUAGAGGGUAUAUGCUGGUUUGUGUGAGAGCAUGUGAGUUGUAAGUGCAAUCUCAAGUUGGCUUAACAUUCCACUUGAGAGCAUGUGAGUUGUGAGUGUGUUGUGUGAACGUGUGCGAGUCUAUUGAGAGUUUCAGAGAUUGAGUAAAGUGUCAAGUCUAUAUAAGACUGAGUUCUAUCUGUAACAAAGUAUCUUUCUUCUGUCAAUCAAAUUGAUUAAACCGUAAGCAAUGUA